GAUGAACGCUAGCGGCAGGCUUAAUACAUGCAAGUCGAGGGGCAGCAUGGUGUAGCAAUACACUGAUGGCGACCGGCAAACGGGUGCGGAACACGUACAGAACCUUCCUUCGAGCGGGGAAUAGCCCCAGAGAAAUUUGGAUUAAUACCCCAUAGUAUAUUGAAAAGGCAUCUUUUUAAUAUUAAAGAUUUAUCACUUGAAGAUGGCUGUGCGGCUGAUUAGGUAGUUGGCGGGGUAACGGCCCACCAAGCCUACGAUCAUUAACUGGUGUGAGAGCACGACCAGUCACACGGGCACUGAGACACGGGCCCGACUCCUACGGGAGGCAGCAGUAAGGAAUAUUGGUCAAUGGACGCAAGUCUGAACCAGCCAUGCCGCGUGGAGGAUGAAGGUCCUCUGGAUUGUAAACUUCUUUUAUCUGGGACGAAAAAAGGGAAUUCUUUCUCGUCUGACGGUACCAGAUGAAUAAGCACCGGCUAACUCCGUGCCAGCCGCCGCAGUAAAAC
rnacentral:rRNA from 1 species